UUGCGCAGUAUAGGUGGGAGGCAAAGAAUAUAUGUUUGCGGAUGUAUAUGAGCCGUUAGUGAGAUACCACUCUGAUUAAACUAGAAUUCUAAUAUUGAUUGCCAUAAGCUGGCCAAUAGACAGUUUCAGGUAGGCAGUUUGACUGGGGCGGUCGCCUCCUAAAAGGUAACGGAGGCGUGCAAAGGUUUCCUCAGGCUGGUCGGAAAUCAGUCGUAGAGUAUAAAGGCAUAAGGAAGCUUGACUGCGAGACUUACAAGUCGAGCAGAGACGAAAGUCGGCCUUAGUGAUCCGACAGUACUG
rnacentral:rRNA from 1 species